rnacentral:hammerhead_ribozyme from 1 species
GUACUGCUGAAGAGUCCCAAACUAGGACGAGACCAUUGUCCAGUAC